GAAUACACUCAGUCCUAACCCCGACAGAAUGUUCAGAUAGAAGUCGUUUCGCCUCAGCGCUCAGACCCUACGGCAAGUGCAAAUGGUCGGGUUUUAUGGCCAGGCUACUCGGCGACGCCUUUUGUACGGGUAGUAAUUGAAGACGACUGGCCGCUAGGAUUCCGCACGGCGUGUACUUCUACCUUCCCUCGCACGGGCGAUACCACUCACUUCCUUCAAAAUAAAAUGACAAAAUCUUUAAUUAGCUAUGACAUUAUAGAUUUCAAAAUGACCUUGGAGGGAGAAAAAAUUCUUAAAUGUUUCAGAUGUAAUGUUUUAUAAUUUUGAAAUGACUUUUUUCUCGUUUUUUUUUUCAGAUAAAAAAUAUGGAAUCCAAAGAAUCUGGGAAGCGGGCCCAAACCGUAAGUCCCUCAUGGUUAAAUAUUUACAUGUAUAAUGUCUUUCUUUUUUUUAAAAAAAAAAAGCUUGGCUUCUGGUAUGCUUAAAGUAAAAGCCAAGUGCAGCAAUUUUUCUUUAGGAUCAGUUUAAGUUAAUUUAAUAUACACCCCCAAAAUAUGCAUGCCUAAGACUUUUUUAAAUUAUUUGCAGUCACCAACAGAGGCGCAGCAAAAGAAAAGGAGUAAAUCAGAUGUAAGUCCCUUUAUUUGGUUAAUCUUAUUUUCUAUUACAAUAUCUUAGUUACGCCCCCUUGACUCACUCUCAAAUCAUUGUGUUAUAUAGGUAUUCUUAUACUAAUAGGUUGAAAUAUGCAUAUUUAUAAUGUCUUUUUUUAAAAAAAAUAGAAGCUUGGCUUCUGGUCAGUAUAAAGCAACAAUCUUUCUUUAGGAUCAGGUUAAGUUAAUUUAAUGUUCCCCCACACACACAUGCAUGCCUAGACACAUUAAUUAAGACUUUUUUAAAUUAUUUGCAGUCUCAGACGAUAAUACCCGUGCCUGGAACAAGUUGUAAGUACAAUACAGAACUUUUAUAUAACUAAAGUAAAUAUAUUAUUUAUUAAUUAAUUUAAUUCAAAAUGAACUUGGAGGGAAAAAAGAUUCUUAAAUGUUUCAGAUGUAAUGUUUUAUAAUUUUGAAAUGACUUUUUUCUGUUUGUUUUUUUUUUUCAAAACAGCAGCAGACAAGAAAAAACCCCCAUCACAAGUAAGUCCCUCUGAUUUUAUUUAAAACAUGACUGCCAUGUUUACUUUGAGUGCUUGGGUGUAGCGUUUAAAGUAAGUACAAGCCUAGUGGAACAAUUUUUCUUUAGGUUUAGGUUAAGUUAAUUUAAUGUAACCCCCCCCCAAAAAAAAAAAUAUGCAUGCCUAGACACAUUAAUUAAAACUUUUUUUAAUUAUUUGCAGCAUGACAACACAGAAGCAAGUUCCAGCUACAAUUUCAGUGAUGAUACAAACAGUACGUACAAUACAGAACAUUUUUUUAACUUUUUAAAGGAAAUUUUCAGAAUGCCUGUAUUGAUGACAUAAAUUAUUAAGUCUUUUUGCAUAUUUUUUUUUUUCAGCCAUGAGACUUUCAAGAGACAUUAGAACGUCUAACACCAGAUGGCUGGCAGCUGAAGCCUUAAGUUACAACUUUAUGUUCUCAACAGGAAGGCUACAGGAAGACGACUUUAAUAUUUUAUACCAUGAAUUAAACAAUCACAUUAAGCAAUAUGUGGAGUCGAAGGAGCCUCACAAUCAAUAAAUUGAACAGCAGCCUGGGGAUAUUAUAUCUGCCACUGCUUACAAAUAGUUUGGAAGUAACAGGCAAGAAUGGAGGAACAAGUCCAAGGACAAAGCCAUCUGAUGAUGGGUCAUGCUGUUGAGGAGCACAGAGAAAUGUUUCGAAGCUUGCUCCACAUAUGAAUUAAGUUACGAAAUGUAGGUGAACAAGGAAUGACUCCAGCAGCAAUCCCAUGUUUCAGCAUGACAACACAGAAGCAAGUUCCAGCUACAAUUUCAGUGAUGAUACAAACAGUACGUACAAUACAGAACAUUUUUUUAACUUUUUAAAGGAAAUUUUCAGAAUGCCUGUAUUGAUGACAUAAAUUAUUAAGUCUUUUUGCAUAUUUUUUUUUUUCAGCCAUGAGACUUUCAAGAGACAUUAGAACGUCUAACACCAGAUGGCUGGCAGCUGAAGCCUUAAGUUACAACUUUAUGUUCUCAACAGGAAGGCUACAGGAAGACGACUUUAAUAUUUUAUACCAUGAAUUAAACAAUCACAUUAAGCAAUAUGUGGAGUCGAAGGAGCCUCACAAUCAAUAAAUUGAAGUAAGUAAUAAAUAAAAUAAAGAAAUUUUUUCACGAUAAAGGUGAAAACAAAGUCAUCAUGCACAGCAUAUCCUUGUGUUCUUUUGUCACUGAUUCAGUGUUUUUAUUGCCAAAACUGACACCACAAAGAGAGUGAUAGCAUAUCUAACCAUACACUGAAAACCACUGACAUUUCAUCAAUACAUGAAAGAUGUUGCUACUCAUAACGAGAUAAUUGUUACUACAGAGCAGGCUCUUUUAGUCAAAAUGCUUCUUUGAUAGAAAUAGUGGGCAGGCAGGUAGAAAUUGUGGUGCUAGUUAUGUAGGGCAAAGGUUGGGAUACUGAGAGCAUACUUGAUUGUUUUUGUUUUGUUUUUGCAAGUCAAUAUGUUUUCCUGUUUGGGUUGCAUAUGACCCUGAAGUAGACUGUAGUUUCAUGUACAAAUGUAUUACAAUGAAACAUUUGUAUUUGACUUUUAACCAUCACAAUUUCCCUUUGUGCACAGCAGCAGCCUGGGGAUAUUAUAUCUGCCACUGCUUACAAAUAGUUUGGAAGUAACAGGCAAGAAUGGAGGAACAAGUCCAAGGACAAAGCCAUCUGAUGGUCAGUGAAAUAAGAAAUCAAAGAAAAUAACCAUGCAUGUGUUUAAUUUAUCAAUGUAAGCAUGGCUUUAUCAUUCAUGAUUUGUUUAUGAAGAAAGUUAACCCUGCCUAUUACCCUGUUCUGGGUAAUCUCUGCAUGUUGUACACCUGUUUACAAGUGCAACUGCUUUGAUGUGAUAUGGUUCUAGUGAUUCUACCUCUUAUUAGUUUUCCUUUCUAAUCCACAAAUAGUAAUCAACACUAGAAGCAAGCCUACAUGAAUCUAUUUACAUAAGUGGUGUUGGCCAUCAACUUCCUGUUGCCUCCUAGCUGCUUUAAAGCUCAUAAAUAGUAAGAAACAGAAAUACGUUUUACUUCAACUGAAUGGCACAUCGGUAAGAAGUGAAUAAAUUGAAAUGCCUUGUUUUUGCUUAUCAUUAAAGGACUAAUAUUUUGAUUGCAGAUGGGUCAUGCUGUUGAGGAGCACAGAGAAAUGUUUCGAAGCUUGCUCCACAUAUGAAUUAAGUUACGAAAUGUAGGUGAACAAGGAAUGACUCCAGCAGCAAUCCCAUGUUUCAGGUGAGAAAUUUGAUAGGCUGGAAGAGGAAUCUGUGUGUAGAGAAUUUAGGGGGGAAAGUGGCUGUUGUGAAAUCUAAUUAAAGCUUUUUUCGCAACAACUAGCCUGAAGACUUUGAAGACUCAAAUUCUUUGUUGUAAAUAAAUGUUAAAACCAUGUUUAGUUUUGGCUUGUAUAUAAUAAAUUUCUUCUCUCCUUUUUGUGUUGUAUGUAGUACAUUGUUGUGAAGAUUGUGAAGAUUGUAAGGAUUUUUUUUUUUU
rnacentral:lncRNA from 1 species